rnacentral:lncRNA from 1 species
CAAACGUGCUGGACGUUAGUUCCUUAUUUGUCUUUUUCCCUUUUGGGGGGCACCACCAACUUCCUCGUCGAAUCUGAUGAUGUGGCAAGCGGAUUCCUCUGCCCUGAACUAGCCGGUGGCGCGUUAAUUCCCCCUUUGCCUGCAGACCUGCUCGGACCCCACCGAGAGGAUGGAAAUGACAUCGGUGAGGCUGCUGGUCUGGUCCUUCCUCCUUUUGAUCCUGGGAAAUCUCACCUGGGCUGCAGAUCCCCCAAACUACUGCUACGGGGCCCCCGGUCUGCCUGGAGUCCCAGGACCUCCAGGGAAAGAUGGGCGCGAUGGACAUCGAGGACCCAAAGGAGAACCAGGUCCUCCGGCUGCCCCGGGAAAGCACGGACCCAAGGGAGAGCCGG